AGAGAGGACCGGAUUUACGCCCUCUUCCACCGGCUGAUAAGACAAAAGAAGAUAUACUUCUCUUUUUCAAGCUUUAUGUCCCAGAAAAGGAAGAGCUUCGGUAUCUUGGGAGAAUGCUUGUGAAGGCAACAGGAAAACCGUUGGAGAUCCUUGUAAAAUUGAAUGAAAUGGCUGGGUUUUCACCAAAUGAAGAAAUUGAACUUUUUGAGG
rnacentral:misc_RNA from 1 species